GGGAGACAGGAGAGAGGUUAUCACCAUCAGGUAACAUAGAGGGAGACAGGAGAGAGGUUAUCACCAUCAGGUAACAACAUAGAGGGAGACAGGAGAGAGAUUAUCACCAUCAGGUAACAACAUAGAGGGAGACAGGAGAGAGGUUAUCACCAUCAGGUAACAUAGAGGGAGACAGGAGAGAGGUUAUCACCAUCAGGUAACAUAGAGGGGAACAGGAGAGAGGUUAUCACCAUCAGGUAACAUAGAGGGAGACAGGAGAGAGGUUAUCACCAUCAGGUAACAUAGAGGGGGACAGGAGAGAGGUUAUCACCAUCAGGUAACAUAGAGGGAGACAGGAGAGAGGUUAUCACCAUCAGGUAAUAUAGAGGGAGACAGGAGAGAGGUUAUCACCAUCAGGUAACAACAUAGAGGGAGACAGGAGAGAGGUUAUCACCAUCAGGUAACAUAGAGGGAGACAGGAGAGAGGUUAUCACCAUCAGGUAACAACAUAGAGGGGGACAGGAGAGAGGUUAUCACCAUCAGGUAACAACAUAGAGGGAGACAGGAGAGAGGUUAUCACCAUCAGGUAACAACAUAGAGGAAGACAGGAGAGAGGUUAUCACCAUCAGGUAACAUAGAGGGAGACAGGAGAGAGGUUAUCACCAUCAGGUAACAACAUAGAGGGAGACAGGAGAGAGGUUAUCACCAUCAGGUAACAACAUAGAGGGAGACAGGAGAGAGGUUAUCACCAUCAGGUAACAUAGAGGGAGACAGGAGAGAGAUUAUCACCAUCAGGUAACAUAGAGGGAGACAGGAGAGAGGUUAUCACCAUCAGGUAACAUAGAGGGAGACAGGAGAGAGGUUAUCACCAUCAGGUAACAUAGAGGGAGACAGGAGAGAGGUUAUCACCAUCAGGUAACAUAGAGGGGGACAGGAGAGAGGUUAUCACCAUCAGGUAACAUAGAGGGAGACAGGAGAGAGGUUAUCACCAUCAGGUAACAUAGAGGGAGACAGGAGAGAGAUUAUCACCAUCAGGUAACAUAGAGGGAGACAGGAGAGAGGUUAUCACCAUCAGGUAACAUAGAGGGAGACAGGAGAGAGGUUAUCACCAUCAGUUAACAUAGAGGGAGACAGGAGAGAGAUUAUCACCAUCAGGUAACAACAUAGAGACAGGAGAGAGGUUAUCACCAUCAGGUAACAUAGAGGGAGACAGGAGAGAGGUUAUCACCAUCAGGUAACAACAUAGAGGGAGACAGGAGAGAGGUUAUCACCAUCAGGUAACAUAGAGGGAGACAGGAGAGAGGUUAUCACCAUCAGGUAACAUAGAGGGAGACAGGAGAGAGGUUAUCACCAUCAGGUAACAACAUAAAGGGAGACAGGAGAGAGGUUAUCACCAUCAGGUAACAACAUAGAGGGAGACAGGAGAGAGGUUAUCACCAUCAGAUAACAUAGAGGGAGACAGGAGAGAGGUUAUCACCAUCAGGUAACAACAUAGAGGGGGACAGGAGAGAGGUUAUCACCAUCAGGUAACAUAGAGGGAGACAGGAGAGAGGUUAUCACCAUCAGGUAACAUAGAGGGAGACAGGAGAGAGGUUAUCACCAUCAGGUAACAACAUAGAGGGAGACAGGAGAGAGGUUAUCACCAUCAGGUAACAUAGAGGGG